rnacentral:rRNA from 1 species
AUUGAACGCUGGCGGCAGGCCUAACACAUGCAAGUCGAGCGGAUGAAGGGAGCUUUCUCCUGGAUUCAGCGGCGGACGGGUGAGUAAUGCCUAGGAAUCUGCCUGGUAGUUGGGGAUAACGUCCGUAAACGGGCGCUAAUACCGCAUCCGUCCUGAUGUAGAACGUGGGGGAUCUUCGGACCUCACGCUAUCAGAUGAGCCUAGGUCGGAUUAGCUAGUUGGUGGGGUAAAGGCCUACCAAGGCGACGAUCCGUAACUGGUCUGAGAGGAUGAUCAGUCACACUGGAACUGAGACACGGUCCAGACUCCUACGGGAGGCAGCAGUGGGGAAUAUUGGACAAUGGGCGAAAGCCUGAUCCAGCCAUGCCGCGUGUGUGAAGAAGGUCUUCGGAUUGUAAAGCACUGUAAGUUGGGAGGAAGGGCAGUAAGUUAAUACCUGGCUGUUUUGACGUUACCAACAGAAUAAGCACCGGCUAACUUCGUG